AACCGGAGCUAAUACCGGAUAAUAUUUUGAACCGCAUGGUUCAAAAGUGAAAGACGGUCUUGCUGUCACUUAUAGAUGGAUCCGCGCUGCAUUAGCUAGUUGGUAAGGUAACGGCUUACCAAGGCAACGAUGCAUAGCCGACCUGAGAAGGUGAUCGGCCACACUGGAACUGAGACACGGUCCAG
rnacentral:rRNA from 1 species